rnacentral:snRNA from 1 species
GGAUGUGAGGGUGCUCUGACUGUGACAUCUGUCACCCCACUGAUUGUCAGGGUUCAUAUUUGGCUGGGGGUGAUUGCCAGGGUUGAUUUGGCUGACCUGGUUGGCUAGGCGGGUGUCCCCCUCCUCCCUCACCACUCCACGUGUGUCCCCCCCAAAGCUGUGUGCUUGGUCAACAAGGACAACCACCCCCAACAGAGGAGGACCGGUCUUCGGAAGUAGCUGGGCUCCCCUGAUAGAACCUUCAAACAAGCUCUCAAGAAUGUGGAAAAUCUGAAACUCACAUUGCUGGUUGCUGGAAAGAAUAUAAAAUGCUGCAAACACUUUAAAAAGCAUUUUGGCAGUUU